rnacentral:rRNA from 1 species
AUGUGCGUGCGGAUCUCCCGCGACUCCUACCCCAACCUCCACGCCCUCCACAACGCCUCCAACGACAGCCUCACCAACACCGCCUACGUCAAGAUCUCCGAGGGCGUCUUCGGAUACGUCCUCGACGACGUGCCCCACCUCGCCGACUACCUCCCCGUGAGCAGCCACCCCUCCCCUCCCCUGCUCCUCCUCGCUCGACCGCUCGUCGGCUCGUGGCGAUGGGUUCUGUGCGCCUGA